UUGAAAUCUGAGGCUUUCAGCCCCCGAGUUGUAAUUUGAAGAUGGUGUUCUGGUGCCGGCCCCCUGUCUACGUUCCUUGGAACAGGACAUCGCAGAGGGUGAGAAUCCCGUCUGGCGGGGCGGCCUGGCUCCGUGUAGAGCGCCAUCGACGAGUCGAGUUGUUUGGGAAUGCAGCUCUAAGUGGGUGGUAAAUUCCAUCUAAAGCUAAAUAUUGGCGAGAGACCGAUAGCGAACAAGUACAGUGAUGGAAAGAUGAAAAGAACUUUGAAAAGAGAGUGAAAAAGUACGUGAAAUUGUUGAAAGGGAA
rnacentral:rRNA from 1 species